rnacentral:rRNA from 1 species
GAUGAACGCUGGCGGCGUGCCUAAUAAAUGCAAGUCGAGCGAACAGACGAGGAGCUUGCUCCUCUGACGUUAGCGGCGGACGGGUGAGUAACACGUGGAUAACCUACCUAUAAGACUGGGAUAACUUCGGGAAACCGGGGCUAAUACCGGAUAAUAUAUUGAACGGAAUGGUUAAAUAGUGAAAGACGGUUUUGCUGUCACUUAUAGAUGGAUCCGAGCCGCAUUAGCUAGUUGGUAAGGUAACGGCUUACCAAGGCAACGAUGGGUAACCCACCCGAGGGGGGGAAUCGCCCACACGGAACCGGGAACACGUACCAGACCCUAACGGGGGCAGGCAUUGGGAAUCCUCCCGCAAGGGGCGAAGCCCGAACGAGGCAACGCCGCGGGGGUGAGGAAGUUCUUCGAUUCGUAAAACUCUUUUAUUAGGAAAAAACAAAGGGUAAAUUACCAAGGCACGUCUUAACGUAACCUAAUCAGAAGACCACGCCAACCUACGU